rnacentral:misc_RNA from 1 species
GCCUAAUAGCUUGUAUUCCAUUAGUCUUGUGAGAAGAUCAGCCAAUCAAGUAGCUGAUUGGAUGGCAAAGAAAAAUUUAGGUCUUUUGCAUGCAAAUUACUGGUUUAUUUCUCCCCCUUGGCCGUUAAAGCCUCUGCUUUUGAAUGAUUUCCCUCACUGACGUUUAUGCAAUAUAAGCUAUUAGGCUAUUUUUUUUUCGUGCUGC